rnacentral:rRNA from 1 species
GACGAACGCUGGCGGCGUGCUUAACACAUGCAAGUCGAACGGAAAGGCCCUGCUUUUGUGGGGUGCUCGAGUGGCGAACGGGUGAGUAACACGUGAGUAACCUGCCCUUGACUUUGGGAUAACUUCAGGAAACUGGGGCUAAUACCGGAUAGGAGCUCCUGCUGCAUGGUGGGGGUUGGAAAGUUUCGGCGGUUGGGGAUGGACUCGCGGCUUAUCAGCUUGUUGGUGGGGUAGUGGCUUACCAAGGCUUUGACGGGUAGCCGGCCUGAGAGGGUGACCGGCCACAUUGGGACUGAGAUACGGCCCAGACUCCUACGGGAGGCAGCAGUGGGGAAUAUUGCACAAUGGGCGGAAGCCUGAUGCAGCAACGCCGCGUGCGGUAUGACGGCCUUCGGGUUGUAAACCUCUUUCGCCUGUGACGAAGCGUGAGUGACGGUAAUGGGUAAAGAAUCACCGGCUAACUACGUG